rnacentral:rRNA from 1 species
GUCUAUGGCCAUACCAACCUGAACGUGCCCGAUCUCGUCUGAUCUCAGAAGCUAAGCAGGGUCGGGCCUGGUUAGUACUUAGUACUUGGAUGGGAGACAACAAGACAAGAGCUGGGUU